rnacentral:rRNA from 1 species
UACGUAGGGUGCGAGCGUUGUCCGGAAUUAUUGGGCGUAAAGAGCUUGUAGGCGGUUUGUCGCGUCUGCUGUGAAAAUCCGGGGCUCAACCCCGGACUUGCAGUGGGUACGGGCAGACUAGAGUGUGGUAGGGGAGACUGGAAUUCCUGGUGUAGCGGUGGAAUGCGCAGAUAUCAGGAGGAACACCGAGGGCGAAGGCGGGUCUCUGGGCCUUACCUGACGCUGAGGCGCGAAAGCUAGGGGAGCGAACAGG